rnacentral:rRNA from 1 species
GAUGAACGCUGGCGGCGUGCCUAAUACAUGCAAGUCGAGCGAACAGACGAGGAGCUUGCUCCUCUGACGUUAGCGGCGGACGGGUGAGUAACACGUGGAUAACCUACCUAUAAGACUGGGAUAACUUCGGGAAACCGGAGCUAAUACCGGAUAAUAUAUUGAACCGCAUGGUUCAAUAGUGAAAGACGGUUUUGCUGUCACUUAUAGAUGGAUCCGCGCCGCAUUAGCUAGUUGGUAAGGUAACGGCUUACCAAGGCAACGAGGCGUAGCCGACCUGAGAGGGUGAUCGGCCACACUGGAACUGAGACACGGUCCAGACUCCUACGGGAGGCAGCAGUAGGGAAUCUUCCGCAAUGGGCGAAAGCCUGACGGAGCAACGCCGCGUGAGUGAUGAAGGUCUUCGGAUCGUAAAACUCUGUUAUUAGGGAAGAACAAAUAUGUAAGUAACUAUGCACGUCUUGACGGUACCUAAUCAGAAAGCCACGGCUAACUACGUG